UAGCAAUUAAAAUGACGUGGAUGACGUGUGUGUUUGCCAUGGCUUAUAUCUCAAACAAAAAUGAACGGUUAUGAUAAAUAUAUUAAAUAUAAAAUAAUAUUCCCUACGAAUGAAUAUGACUAAUUUGUUAAAUAAAUAUAUUAUAGAUAUUUUUUAAUAAAAUAUAAUAUAUAAAUUUAUAAAAUAUUUUAUUCUAAAUUUUUGAAUAAAUAUGAUUUAUAAAUUUUUAUUGAUUUAAAAUAAAUUAAAAUAAUUGUUACGUAUAUUUGCACGUACGCUUAACUAGUAUACAUAAAAGCGUGUAAAAAUUCCGACAAUGGCAAACAGAAUUCAAAAAGAAUAACAUAAUAUUUCCUACAAACAUAUUUCCUACAAACAGAUAUGAUCAGUUUAUUAAAACAAUCUCUCAUAUCUGUUUAUUAAAACAAUAUCAAAUAAGAACGAACAGUUAUGACUAAUCAGUUAAAAAAUAACAAUCUUAUGUGCUGAGAUGUUUGACGAUG
rnacentral:lncRNA from 1 species